rnacentral:lncRNA from 1 species
AACAGUCCAAGGCACGUCUCACUAUCCACUUAUAAAUGUCAGAAAUACUCAGAGACAAUCUAGGUUCUCAUCCGUUAUCUCCCUCACCUCUCUCAUCUUCUAUAAUAAACGCGAACGUCGUCCCUUGAUUCAUUUGUCAUUUUCAACCGGCGGCAGAUCUUGAAGCCACCCAAAUCUCGUCCAUGCAAUCAUCGACCUUCCCUCAACCCCAGUCCAACACCAUUUCUCCUUAUAUCCUCAUCGAAUCGGCCUGUUUUUGAAUAUGGAAAUAAAGGGGAAAAGAAUUCCGCCAAGCCUUCCAAUUUCUUUGAACG